GGGGGGGGGGGGGGGGGGGGGUGGGGGGUGCGGGGCGGGCGGGGGGACGGGGGGGGUGCGCGGGGGAAGGGAGCGGCGGGCGGGUGAGUAGCGAGUGGAUGGGCUACAUGUGAGGCUGGGGUACCGGCGGGGGGGGGGAGCUAAGGACGGAGACGAUAGUGACGCACAUGGUUCGAUAGUUAAAGAUGGCUUUGCUGGCGCUGGUUCACGGAUCCGAGCCGCAUUAGCUAGUUGGUAAGGUAAUGGCUUAUCAAGGCAACGAUGCGUAGCGGACCUGAGAGGGUGAUCGGCCACACUGGAACUGAGACACGGCCCAGACUCCUACGGGAGGCAGCAGUAGGGAAUCUUCCGCAAUGGGCGAAAGCUUGACGGAGCAACGCCGCGUGGGUGAUGAAGGUCUUCGGAUCGUAAAACCCUGUUGUUAGAGAAGAACGAGUGUGUAAGUAACUGUGCACGUAUUGACGGUAUCUAAUCAGAAAGCCACGGCUAACUACGUG
rnacentral:rRNA from 1 species